rnacentral:rRNA from 1 species
AUUGAACGCUGGCGGCAGGCUUAACACAUGCAAGUCGAGCGGAGAUGAGGUGCUUGCACCUUAUCUUAGCGGCGGACGGGUGAGUAAUGCUUAGGAAUCUGCCUAUUAGUGGGGGACAACAUUCCGAAAGGAAUGCUAAUACCGCAUACGCACUACGGGGGAAAGCAGGGGAUCUUCGGACCUUGCGCUAAUAGAUGAGCCUAAGUCGGAUUAGCUAGUUGGUGGGGUAAAGGCCUACCAAGGCGACGAUCUGUAGCGGGUCUGAGAGGAUGAUCCGCCACACUGGGACUGAGACACGGCCCAGACUCCUACGGGAGGCAGCAGUGGGGAAGAUUGGACAAUGGGCGGAAGCCUGAUCCAGCCAUGCCGCGUGUGUGAAGAAGGCCUUUUGGUUGUAAAGCACUUUAAGCGAGGAGGAGGCUACCUGGAUUAAUACUCUAGGAUAGUGGACGUUACUCGCAGAAUAAGCACCGGCUAACUCUGUGCCAGCCGCCGCAGUAACAC